rnacentral:rRNA from 1 species
UGGGGAAUUUUGGACAAUGGGCGCAAGCCUGAUCCAGCCAUGCCGCGUGUCUGAAGAAGGCCUUCGGGUUGUAAAGGACUUUUGUCAGGGAAGAAAAGGCUGUUGCUAAUACCGACAGCUGAUGACGGUACCUGAAGAAUAAGCACCGGCUAACUACGUGCCAGCAGCCGCGGUAAUACGUAGGGUGCGAGCGUUAAUCGGAAUUACUGGGCGUAAAGCGAGCGCAGACGGUUACUUAAGCAGGAUGUGAAAUCCCCGGGCUCAACCUGGGAACUGCGUUCUGAACUGGGUGACUAGAGCGUGUCAGAGGGAGGUAGAAUUCCACGUGUAGCAGUGAAAUGCGUAGAGAUGUGGAGGAAUACCGAUGGCGAAGGCAGCCUCCUGGGAUAACACUGACGUUCAUGCUCGAAAGCGUGGGUAGCAAACAGGAUUAGAUACCCCCGUAGUCCCUGAGCGGGCUGGCAAGGCGCAU